rfam:Triticum aestivum genome assembly, contig: Triticum_aestivum_CS42_TGACv1_scaffold_082442_1DS
GGAUGCGACCAUACCAGCACUAAAGCACCGGAUCCAAUCAGAACACCGAAUUUAAGCAUGUUUGGGUGAGAGUCGUACUAGGAUGGGUGACCUCCUGGGAAGUACGCGUCUAGCGACGG